rnacentral:rRNA from 1 species
AUUUAUCUAACAGAAAUAUAAUUUGUACAAUUAUCUAGUUGAAUUUUUAGGGGGAGUAAAAAUACUUUUAUUUUUAAAAAAGACGAUAAGACCCUAAAAUCUUUAUUUUUAGGAAUUUAAAAGAUUAUAAAAAUUUUAUUUGGGGUAAAUAUUUUUAUAAAUUAAAUUAAAGAUUUACUAUAGGAGCAUGAGAAUCUUAUAUUAGGUUAUUAGUAAAAGUUACUUUAGGGAUAACAGCGUAAUUUUUUAUCAGAGAAGGUAUCUAUUUAAUUUUUACGACCUCGAUGUUGAAUUAAAAUUUCUUUUUAUAGCAGUAUAUAACGAAGAGGGUUUGUUCAACCUUUUAUUUUUUACAUGAUCUGAGUUCAAACCGG